ACACGGGAAAGGAGGUGGUCCGAGGAAUGAAUUCUUUUGGGACUCGUGAGGUGGCUGUCCGCUGGCAGCUCCACUGCUGACAGGCCCCAUUCCGGGCAGCUGGCGACAGUGUCGAAGCCGCCGGCAAUGCACGACAGUCACCCGACCCGCAGGUGCUCCGGACAUCAGUCCGCCGGAGACGGUGCGCAGGUCUCCACCAGGAGAAACCGCCACCACACCUGCGGGUCGCUCCCA
rnacentral:sRNA from 1 species